rnacentral:rRNA from 1 species
UGCGGUAAUUUGACCGUGCAAAGGUAGCAUAAUCAGUAGUCUUUUAAUUGAAGGCUUGUAUGAACGGUUGGAUGAGGGAAAAGCUGUCUCUUUUAUAACCUAAAACUUGACUUUUAAGUGAAAAGGCUUAAAUAGUGUAGUGGGACGAUAAGACCCUAUAAAACUUUAUAUGUUGCCUGCUUUUUGUUAAAAUUCUAUCUAAAAUUUGAAAAGCACUCUACAUAUUUUGUUGGGGAGACAUUGAUAUAAAUUGUAACUGUCUAAAUAAAAAAUAUAAUUAUCAUUAUAAUUUGAUCCUUCUUUGUGGAUAAAAAGAAUAAGUUACUUUAGGGAUAACAGCGUGAUUUUUUCUGAGAGUUCUUAUCGAAGAAAGUAGUUGCGACCUCGAUGUUGAAUUAA